CUCAUCUCAACAGCUUGGUUUGUUUGUAGGGUUGAUUAGAGGAGAGAUGAGUAGGCACAAUCAAAUAUGGUUGAAUCAGGAAAGAUUGGACGGUCCACAAUCUCUGUCCCUCUCGAAUAAGGCUUUUGAAGCAACAAUUGUGAAAAUGGAAAAUGGGGUAGUAAUGGUAGACAACAAGAUUGCGGAAGAAAGAGUUGCCAAUGAGGAAGUGGAGGUGAGGGUUGCUGGGGAUUCCGGUGAAACAAAAGAACCGGUAGAUGAGGUUUUUGGGGAGGCAAUUGCAACACAGGAGAUUUUGCAAGAACAGGCAGAAAAACCUGGAGUGGAUGGCAGCAGUUUAGUUGACGAUGCAAUUGGAAAUGUUGAGACAUUUGGUGAUACUGGUUCAGAGGUAGUUAAGGAGAAUUUGAAUUUAGAACCUAAAGAAGAGACCUUUCAAGAGGCUGUUGAGGUUCUAACUGAGGUUGGAGCUCUGGAGAAUGCGGUUGCAAGUGAGGUAGGAACUCUGGAGGUUGUGGCAGAGUCGGUGGACCAGCAGCAAGGGGAGAGUGUUAGUGGUGGUGUGGUGCUGGAUAAGAUUGACGAGGGAGGGACUGAAAUGGGCGAAAGGACUGAUGAAUUGAAUAGUGGGAAGGAAGUACCUGAAGUCAGUGGUACCAGAGAAACAGAAGUUCCGAGGGACAAGGAAAAAAGAAAUCUCAAGUUUGAUACGGUCAUGGAGAUGCCUGUAAAAGGAGAUACUUAUCAGGGAAAAGAGAGUACGGAAGUAAAAGGUGCCACAGCUGAUCUUGAUUCAGUAGAUGGUGGUGACAAAGAUGAAAAAGCAAAUAAGGCUUUUGCUGCUGCGGAGGAUACCAUGAAUGGAGAAGUAAAAGAUUUAUCUGAUGCUAGGGGUAUGAAGAAUAAUGGUGAGAUUGAUGAACUGAGAGAUAUGCUGUCUGAGCCAAGUAAAUCUGUUGAAGAGACAGUUGCUUCUGCAGUCGGGAACUUAUCCUCUUCAGAAAAGUUCACAGAUGAGAUGAAUGAGAAGAUUGAGGUUGGUAAAGCUGAUUUGAGAACAGAGGUUCAUGAUAGUUUUCAAUCUCGGCUCCCUGAUGAAAUGGUGGGUAAUAAAUGUCAAGAUAUUGAUUUUGUGACUGAACAAUCUGAUGAUAAAACAGAGAAAAAUCAGCAAAAUAAGCAAAGCACCCCAGUGACCCUAGAGCAGGAAGUGCAACAUGCUCCAGGAUCUUCAGUGUCUGCAAAAGCCGAAGAGAUUGGGAAGAAAGCAGACAUAACUCAGGAGCCUAAGACAAACACCUCUGUGACUAAAGAAUGUUUAAGUGUUCCUGCUCCGGCAUUGGCAUCAUCUGUUAAAUCUACAAACCUUGCUACCCCUUCUCAUCCUGCUGGCCUUGGGCGUGCUGCUCCGCUAUUGGAACCUGCCCCCAGGGUGGUGCAGCAGCCUCGUGUGAAUGGAAGUGUCUCUCAAGCACAGGCACAGGCACAUCAAAUUGAAGAUCCUGGUAAUGUGGAGGCUGAGGAGAAUGAUGAGACUCGUGAAAAGCUUCAGUUGAUUAGAGUUAAGUUUUUGCGGCUUGCAAAUAGGCUCGGGCAGACUCCCCAUAAUGUUGUUGUGGCACAGGUUUUGUACAGACUAGGAUUAGCUGAGCAGCUCCGGGGGAGAAAUGGGGGCCGGGUUGGUGCCUUCAGCUUUGACCGUGCAAGUGCUAUGGCUGAACAGCUUGAGGCAGCUGGAAAUGAACCCCUUGAUUUUGCCUGUACAAUUAUGGUCCUUGGGAAGACAGGAGUUGGUAAAAGUGCUACUAUUAAUUCAAUAUUUGAUGAAAUCAAGUUUGGCACUGAUGCUUUCCAGACUGGUACCAAUAAGGUUCAGGAUGUUGUGGGUACUGUGCAUGGUAUUAAGGUUCGUGUAAUUGACACACCAGGCCUUCUUCCUUCCUGGUCUGACCAAUGCCAGAAUGAGAAGAUCCUUCACUCUGUUAAGCGUUUCAUCAAGAAAACACCUCCAGAUAUUGUGUUGUACCUCGAUAGGUUGGACAUGCAAACGAGGGAUUUUGGUGAUAUGCCCCUUUUGCGUACCAUAACUGAUAUCUUUGGUCCAUCUAUAUGGUUUAAUGCAAUUGUGGUUUUGACUCAUGCAGCUUCUGCUCCACCAGAUGGUCCAAAUGGUACUGCUUCUAGUUAUGACAUGUUUGUCACUCAGCGUUCUCAUGUUGUACAGCAGGCUAUUCGUCAGGCAGCUGGGGAUAUGCGACUCAUGAAUCCUGUUUCGUUAGUGGAGAAUCACUCUGCAUGUAGAACAAAUAGGGCAGGCCAGAGAGUAUUGCCAAAUGGUCAGGUCUGGAAGCCUCAUUUGUUGUUGCUUUCCUUUGCAUCUAAAAUUCUGGCGGAGGCAAACACACUUUUGAAGUUGCAAGAUACUCCUCCAGGGAAGCCUUUUGCAACUCGAACAAGAGCACCUCCUUUACCUUUCCUUCUUUCAUCUCUUCUUCAAUCAAGACCGCAAGUUAAGCUUCCUGAAGAGCAGUAUGGCGAUGAGGAUGGAUUAGAUGAUGAUUUGGAUGAAUCCUCAGACUCUGAGGAUGAACCAGAAUAUGAUGAGCUGCCACCUUUCAAGCGGUUGAGUAAAGCACAAAUAGCAAAGCUUAGUAAAGCUCAGAAGAAAGCAUAUUUUGACGAGUUGGAAUAUAGGGAAAAGCUUUUUAUGAAGAAACAACUGAAGGAAGAGAAAAAGCGGCGAAAGAUGAUGAAGAAAAUGGCUGCUGCAGCCAAGGAUCUGCCAAGUGAGUACGGUGAAAAUGCAGAAGAAGAAAGUAGUGGUGCUUCUUCUGUUCCAGUUCCCAUGCCAGAUUUGGUGUUGCCUGCUUCUUUUGAUUCUGAUAAUCCAACUCAUCGCUAUCGUUCCCUUGAUUCCUCCAACCCAUGGCUUGUUAGGCCUGUUCUAGAUACACAUGGUUGGGAUCAUGAUGUUGGUUACGAAGGUAUUAAUGUCGAAAGACUGUUUGUUGCAAAAGAGAAAUUUCCUAUUUCAUUUUCUGGCCAGAUUACAAAGGACAAAAGGGAUGCCAAUGUCCAAAUGGAACUAGCCAGUUCUUUAAAGCAUGGGGAAGGUAAAGCAACUUCAGUGGGUUUUGAUAUGCAGACUGUUGGAAAGGACUUAGCCUAUACACUGCGCAGCGAGACCAGGUUUAGUAAUCUGAAGAAGAAUAAGGCAACAGCUGGCAUCUCAGUUACACUCUUAGGUGAUGCACUAUCAGCUGGAAUGAAAUUUGAAGACAAACUGAUUGCUAAUAAGCAGUUCCAGGUAGUCAUGACUGGGGGUGCUAUGACAGGACGCGGCGAUCUUGCUUAUGGGGGCAGCUUGGAAGCACAAUUGAGGGAUAAAGAUUACCCUCUGGGUCGCUCCUUAUCUACACUUGGUCUAUCUAUCAUGGAUUGGCAUGGAGAUCUCGCCAUUGGAUGCAAUAUACAAUCACAGGUACCUGUUGGACGGUCUACAAAUCUAAUAGCUCGUGCCAAUCUGAAUAACAAAGGCGCAGGACAAGUCAGUUUACGAAUAAAUAGCUCUGAGCAGCUUCAGCUUGCUUUGACUUCUCUCUUUCCAUUACUGAAAAAACUAUUUGACUAUUUCCAUCAAGUUCAGUAUGGACAAUGAUGAAAAUUAGGUUGGCUACGGAAAUGACAUUUUUAAAAAUGGCCAUAUCUCUGUGGUCUUUCAAGAGGGCCAGAAUUAGAAAUGUAGAGGCACAUGAUAAAAGAUCACUUGCACGGGGUUAAUUUGCAGGUGACAUUGCCUGUGAAUUAGCUUUUAUGGAGCGUAAAGCAGCGAUGAGGACGCCCCUAGUGGAACCCAUCCCCUAUUCAUGUGUAACAGCUGCAAUUGAAUUGUAAGGGAGUUGAGAAGGGCAGUCGUGGCUUUCCUCAGGAGAGUUUUAUAGGGGUCUCCUCUCCCUCGAAGGUCUCCUCAAAGGGUCAUGUCAGUCCCAUUUCGAUUGGCGGCCAGUGGCCCAUGAAAAAGAGCAACCUUUGACUCAGGGUUCAGUACUCUCCCGUAUUAUUUGUACUCUGGCAUUGCCCAGUAUUCGGAAAAUAUAGUCACAACAGUGUCGUUGAUAACUUGGGAAUAUAAUAACUUCUGCUGUA